rnacentral:rRNA from 1 species
GACGAACGCUGGCGGCGUGCUUAACACAUGCAAGUCGAACGGAAAGGCCCUGCUUUUGUGUGGUGCUCGCGUGGCGAACGGGUGAGUAACACGUGAGUAACCUGCCCUUGACUUUGGGAUAACUUCAGGAAACCGGGGCUAAUACCGGAUAGGAGCUCCUGCUGCAUGGUGGGCGUUGGAAAGUUUCGGCGGUUGGGGAUGGACUCCCGGCUUAUCAGCUUGUUGGUGGGGUAGUGGCUUACCAAGGCUUCGACGGGUAGCCGGCCUGAGAGGGUGACCGGCCACAUUGGGACUGAGAUACGGCCCAGACUCCUACGGGAGGCAGCAGUGGGGAAUAUUGCACAAUGGGCGGAAGCCUGAUGCAGCAACGCCGCGUGCGGGAUGACGGCCUUCGGGUUGUAAACCGCUUUCGCCUGUGACGAAGCGUGAGUGACGGUAAUGGGUGAAGAAGCACCGGCUAACUACGUG